CAUGAGAAACUGAGUUGCUGCUGCAAGUGGUUGUGUGGAGGGCUGUGGCAUCUCUUGCCUUCCAUGGAGCGCCCAAAGGGUUUCCUCCGCAGGAGAGAUGAUGCCGCUACCGUCGGAAAGCUUCUUGGCUCAGUUACUGGGAAGUUUGGGCAGGCAGCGGUAUCAUCUACUGCGCAGGAAACAUGGCUCUCAGCAUGGAAGAAGAAGCUGCCUUUGGUGAGUAAACCGUCUCUUUUCUUUCUAUGUUUUCGGCAAGCCUUGGAUGUUAGAUCAUGCAAUCUAUAUUUACACAAGCCAAGUUUUUUGUUCCACUCAUUGGAUAUCAAUUCCACAGCAAUUCAAGUUUUUUUAGUAUAUUUAGAUAGGAUAAUGAAUUAAAUAUUAUAUAUAUAUAUAUAUAUAUAUAUUCAUCUUUUAUUACUUACCUUAACAUCUAAUUCUUAAAAGAAGAAAUUAGAUUUCUAUUUGUAGUCUUAUUUUGGCUUCGAGUGAAUCCAAGCCGAAUUAUACCAAGAUUUUAUUCUUUUCCUAUUUAUAUUAUGACUCAAUAACUCAUUGAAACCAUUAAUAACAUAAUCAAUAAUAGGAGGAUCAUUGAACCCUAUCCAAAGGAUCCCAAUGGAUCCUGACCGUCAAUCUUGUCAAUGUCACACGUAUGCAUGAAACAAGUGGCGCUUCGAGAUUGGAUGUUCUUCUCCGGGACCAGUAGAAAACUCGAUCCGAACAGGUGCAUGGCAUCUCAUCAUCACGAAUCUCAACGAAAGACGAACGUGGAUCCCUUGUGCGGAUCGGACGCGCCGGCUGUCCUAAUCUGUUUCCGCGGAACAACAGACCGGUAAAUCGACACGUCGACUCCCGUCAUCCCUCAACUCCGCCUAUAUACUUCCUCCACCACCAUCGUCACCGCCGUCGCCGGCUAAAGACCCAGUUUGUAUCGCCAUGGAGGGAUCUCUCCGUCUUCUUCUCCUCCUCGUCAUUCUCGAUUCCCUGAUGUCUCCUUCCAUGGCGGAGAUCAAGAAUCUGGAGAUCUCCGACGACUCCCGCCAGGUCAUCCUGUUCGAGAAUUUCGGAUUUAACCACCGUGGAACCGUCACAAUUGCUCUAUCCGGCGUGUCCAUCUCCUCCUCCGCCGUCGCCCCUGCCGUCGACCCCUCUCUCCUCGGCUUCUUCCUCGUCUCCGAUGAGAGCCUGAUCCAGGCCGCCUACGACUCACAGCAGAACCCUAACCCUAGCUCGUACCCAGAUUGCGUCCUCAGGAGCCCGUACGUCCACCUCCUGUUCACCUUCGAGAAUCUCUCCCCGCCGCCUCCCGGCGGCGCCUUCAACAACUCCUUCGCCGUCUCCCAUCCGGACGAGUACAGCCUCUACUUCGCCAAUUGCGGCCCCGGCGCCGCUGCCGUCACCAUGUCGGUCCGCACCGAGACGUACAACACCCGCCCCGACGGCUCCCGCGAUUACCUCUCCGUCGGCAAGUCCCCUGUGCCGUCGCUCUACACCUUCUUCGCAGUCGCGUACGCCGUCUUCCUGGGCGCGUGGAUCUAUCUCACCCUGUUCCAGAACCGGAUCUCAUCCCACGGGAUCCACUACCUGAUGGCCGGGCUGCUACUCAGCAAGGCCCUCUACCUCGUCUUCGCCGCCGAGGACCAGCACUACAUCCGGCAGACCGGCACCCCGCACGGCUGGGACAUCCCCUUCUACCUCUUCCAGUUCCUGAAAGGCGUCCUCUUGUUCACCGUGAUCGUCCUCAUCGGCACCGGCUGGUCCUUCCUCAAGCCCUUCCUCCAGGAGCGCGAGAAGAAGGUGCUGAUGAUCGUGAUCCCACUCCAGAUAAUCGCCAACAUCGCCUCCGUGGUGAUCGGCGAGACCGGACCCUUCAUCAGGGAUUGGGUCACCUGGAACCAGGUGUUCCUCCUCAUCGACAUCAUCUGCUGCUGCACCGUCCUGUUCCCCAUCAUCUGGUCCAUCAGAUCUCUGCGUGAGACGUCAAAGACCGACGGAAAGGCCGCAAGGAACCUUAUGAAGCUCACACUUUUCCGGCAAUUCUACAUCAUUGUGAUCGGAUAUUUGUACUUCACGAGGAUCGUCGUCUAUGCAUCGGGGACAAUCACAUCUUACAAGUACCGCUGGGUGAGCGUGGCAGCUGAGGAAACCGUGAGCCUUUUGUUCUACAUGUUCAUGUUCUAUAUGUUUCGCCCGGUGGAGAGGAACCAGUACUUUAUGCUUGAUGAAGAAGAGGAAGAAGCUGCAGAAUUGGCGCUCCGUGAGGAAGAGUUCGAGCUUUGAUUGACAGUAGGAAGGAGAAACACUUGUGUGGGAACUUCCUGGUGUGAUCUUCACACUGAUUUCAUCGAGUAUUCUUGCUAUAGGAUAAAAGAAGGUUAUGAGGUGAGUCGCACACCCUCAUUCAAUGCAGCUCCCACCCAAAUUUAAUGGCCAGCACUUCCGCCUUCCAGCAGUCAGUGUCCGGCAAAAAGGAGCAGCCAGCCAGCAAACACUUUCCGUCACUGGAUCUCAUCAAGAAUCCUGCCCCUUGUGCAUUAUCCUGCAGAUUACAAGAACCAUCAGUGUUCAAUUUAAUCCAAUUGUUUUAUGGCUUGGUCCAGGUUACAGAAAUUUGACAAGGCCCCACAAUCCCUUCAGACAGGGGUUUAUAACACGACAUAUGCUCAAAAGCAUUCCGAACGAUGGAGAGAGGGGAUCAGCCACAAAAGGCUGAUCCCUCAUUACAGGCCACAAACUGUAUGCCAAAAGAGCUCGAAGAAGUCCACAGCUAGAUCUGGUGAGAUCUUGUCCCUAACUCAGCCAACGACCCAUUACCCAAUCCGAACGGAACUCAAACUGCUUCCCUAGUGCUUGGUUACUUGAUCCCAGUUAUGGAAAAAUUUGUUGAAAUUAAGCACACUGUAUGAAUAUUGCAUAUGGCUUAAUGAUGCACAGGGAAAAAAUGUUUUAUGUUAGUGUAUAGAAUUUGACGCUGCAAAUCGCUUGAACAGGUUCAAGUUAUUAAUUUAGAUCUCUGUUUUACUGGAUC